CCUACGGGGGGCAGCAGUGGGGAAUAUUGCGCAAUGGGCGAAAGCCUGACGCAGCGACGCCGCGUGAGGGAUGAAGGUCUUCGGAUCGUAAACCUCUGUCAGCAGGGAAGAACGGUCACUGUGCUAAUCAGCAGUGAAUUGACGGUACCUGCAAAGGAAGCACCGGCUAACUCCGUGCCAGCAGCCGCGGUAAUACGGAGGGUGCGAGCGGUAAUCGGAAUUACUGGGCGUAAAGCGCUCGUAGGCGGUAUGUCAAGUCAAGGGGGAAAUCCCCGCGCUCAACGUGGGAACUGCCUUUGAAACUGGCAAACUGGAGUGUGUGAGAGGAUAGUGGAAGUCCAGGUGUAGGAGUGAAAUCCGUAGAUAUCUGGAGGAACAUCAGUGGCGAAGGCGACUAUCUGGCACAUAACUGACGCUGAGGAGCGAAAGCGUGGGUAGCAAACAGGAUUAGAUACCCUAGUAGUC
rnacentral:rRNA from 1 species